UGAUGACGAGACGCUAAGGCGUUGAAGCAGUGUAUGUCAUACUUCCAAGAAAAGCUUGCACUGUCAUAAACAAAGAAUGCCUGUACCAUAACCGACACAGGUGGGUAGGUAGAGUAUACUAAGGGGCGCGAGAUAACUCUCUCUAAGGAACUCGGCAAAAUGACUCCGUAACUUCGGGAGAAGGAGUGCCUUAUUUAUAAGGUUGCAAUAACAAGAUCCAAGCAACUGUUUAUCAAAAACACAGGUCUCCGCUAAGUCGUAAGACGAUGUAUGGGGGCUGACGCCUGCCCAGUGCCAGAAGGUUAAAGAAGUUGGUUAGUGUAUGCGAAGCUGAUGACUGAAGCCCUGGUGAACGGCGGCCGUAACCAUAACGGUCCUAAGGUAGCGAAAUUCCUUGUCGGGUAAGUUCCGACCCGCACGAAAGGCGUAAUGAUUUGGAUACUGUCUCGGAGAGAGGCUCGGUGAAAUAGACUUGUCUGUGAAGAUGCGGACUACCUGCACCAGGACAGAAAGACCCUAUGAAGCUUUACUGUAACUUGAAAUUGGAAUUGGACUUUGCUUGCGCAGUAUAGGUGGGAAGCGUUGAAAAUAUUCUUGCGGGAGUAUUGGAGCUAUCAGUGAGAUACCACUCUUGUAAUGUUAGAUUUCUAACUUUGAACCAUAAUCUGGUCAAAGAACAGUUUCAGGUGGGCAGUUUGACUGGGGCGGUCGCCUCCCAAAUGGUAACGGAGGCGUACAAAGGUUUCCUCUGAACGGAUAGAAAUCGUAUCUAGAGUGUAAAGGCAUAAGGAAGCUUGACUGUGAGACCUACAAGUCGAGCAGGGACGAAAGUCGGUCUUAGUGAUCUGACGGUACUGAGUGGAAAGGCCGUCACUCAACGGAUAAAAGUUACUCUAAGGAUAACAGGCUGAUCUCCCCCAAGAGUUCACAUCGACGGGGAGGUUUGGCACCUCGAUGUCGGCUCAUCGCAUCCUGGGGCGGUAGUACGUCCCAAGGGUUGGGCUGUUCGCCCAUGAAAGCGGUACGCGAGCUGGGUUCAGAACGUCGUGAGACAGUUCGGUCCAUAUCCGGUGUAGGCGCUAGAAUAUUGAGAGGAGCCUUCUUUAGUACGAGAGGACCGAGAAGGACACACCGCUGGUGUACCAGUUAUCGUGCCAACGGUAAACGCUGGGUAGCUAUGUGUGGAGUGGAUAACCGCUGAAAGCAUCUAAGUGGGAAGCCCACCUCGAGAUGAGUAUUCCC
rnacentral:rRNA from 1 species